GCCGGUGUAGCUCAGUUGGUUAGAGCACAGGACUCAUAAGCCUGGGGUCAGUGGUUCAAAUCCACUCAUCGGCACCA
rnacentral:tRNA from 1 species